UCUACGUCUACGUCUACGUCUACGUCUACGUGUCUACGUCUACGUGUCUACGUCUACGUGUCUACGUCUACGUGUCUAUGCUUAUGAGUUACGUCUACGUCUCUACGUCUAUGUCUACGUCUAGUCUACAUCAAGCCGAGGGGAUAAGGAAAUACGCUAUUUUUACACAACAGAAUUUUACUCAGCUGUAAAGAAAAGUGAAACUAUGAAAAUUGCAAAUAAACGGACAGAACAAGAAAACACACUGAGUGAGGCCAAGAAAACACCAUAGAAAAGUGAUCAGAAAGAGAAUGGAGGAGCUGCAAGGUGACAAGGAAUAUGUUAGGGUCCUGCAUUUUGGACAUGACCUGCCUGUUCACCCAUGAUCUCACAGCGGUGACUUCCUGCACGGGACUGGUUUUAAUGCUGGGAUUUAAAGCAAGAAGAGAGAAGAGAAAAUUGGGUUUGCCAUGAGUGCAGUUUACAAAGGAUCUGGUGUUACUCAGUUGCCAAACCAAGAAGAGUCAAGAUCUGGGUCUUGGGUUUGCUCCACUGUACACUGUGUGCUGAGUAUCCAGCACCAAGGACAGAGGAUGGUUUUCCCCUCGUUUGCUAACAUCUCCGCUGCCCGCUGCCCGACGCAGGCCUUGCCCAGCUCCUUGUAAUUCCACAUUGGUGUAGCUGGUCUCUCUCAAGGGGAGUGAGGAACUCCCAACACCGAGGCAGUCUCUAGGAUGGGCUCUAGAUUUGCUCUGGUUCGUUAAGUUCCAUUUUAUUUUCCCAGCUAAGGUAAAACUAGCUGUUCUGAUGGCUGCUCUUCAGUUUUCCACAGAUUUCCCCCCCCCCGGAGACUCUGGAAGACUAUCCCUGUGCAUAACCCACAGUAUCCAUCCUUCUUCCUCCACCCCACCCCCACCCCCAGCCCCUCACCCCGCUGCCACCGCCUCUGCCUCUACUUUUUGAUACUCUACUUAAGCCGUGUCUCCUGGCUCAAGAAGACAAGAAACAAGAUAGCCCUGUAACAAAAUAAAACCAUCCUUCCAGA